AAAAAAAUGAGAAUAGAAACAAAAGUAAAGAAAGCAUAUGGUGAGGCAACCUGAUAUUUCUGGAGUUGUGAUAAGUAACCGAGUUUGGUGACGCAAUACAAGACGCCCUGCCCUGCAACUCAUUUUUAUAUGAUUUAAAAUUUUAAAUUAUUUUCGAUGAAUUUCUUCCUAAAAUGAGAAAUUUCAACUUGCCUGUUUUUGAUCUUUAUCCACCUGACCUGACGUAUUAUCUCAUUGUUUUAAGAAUUGCGGAAAAGGAAACUAAGGAAGAGAAAUUUCUCCAUGAUUAUUAAUUCACCCUCACUUACUUGUUUCUCUCUCUCUCUCCAAUCUCACUUUUUAAGUUUGCGGAGUAGAAAAAUUCCAGUACGAGGUUUUGAGCUUGAUCCUCCUCUGAGGUUUAUUUCUUCGUCUAUGGACGCUUAUGAUCUCUACAAGUGGCAGUCGCAGUGAGAGAAGUUGGUGAAUUGGGCAAGACCCAAAA